rnacentral:rRNA from 1 species
GGCCAGACUCCUACGGGAGGCAGCAGUGGGGAAUAUUGCACAAUGGGGGGAACCCUGAUGCAGCGACGCCGCGUGGGUGAAGAAGCGCCUCGGCGCGUAAAGCCCUGUCAGCAGGGAAGAAAAUGACGGUACCUGAAGAAGAAGCCCCGGCUAACUACGUGCCAGCAGCCGCGGUAAUACGUAGGGGGCAAGCGUUAUCCGGAUUUACUGGGUGUAAAGGGGGCGCAGACGGCGAUGCAAGCCAGGAGUGAAAGCCCGGGGCCCAACCCCGGGACUGCUCUUGGAACUGCGUGGCUGGAGUGCAGGAGGGGCAGGCGGAAUUCCUGGUGUAGCGGCGAAAUGCGUAGAUAUCAGGAGGAACACCGGUGGCGAAGGCGGCCUGCUGGACUGCAACUGACGUUGAGGCCCGAAAGCGUGGGGAGCAAACAGGAUUAGAUACCCCCGUA